CCUGGAGCACACAUGGAAAAAUAUUUGUUACGUGCUUCCUUAACAGCAAUUCGAAGUAAUACAAUAAAAGAGAAGGGGAGACAGGACAGAAAGUAAACAGAGAUUAUGUAUAUGCAUGUCCGAUUUUUUUUAUUAUUUGAAAUUCACUCUUGUUUAGUAGUCACAUUGAGUCUGAUCAAAUCUGAAAUCAAGCCGGGCUUCUAAAUAGGAGCUCAGGAGCACAAUCAAUAAUAGGCACUCGAAACAUGAAAUACCUUGGGGUCCAACUGACUGAGAGGGUGGGGGAAGCCAGACAUGAGUAACACCAGCAUUAGCGAUAUCAGGGAUGGAGUUCUUGAGAGACUUAUACCAUCCUCCAGCCUUAUUACACGACUCCCAGUUGAAACCCUACAUGUCAUCAUCAAUUAGUCGCAGAGUUGCAGAUAAAUCGUGAGGGUAGAUGAAAUAACAAAGUGCAAGCUAUACCUGGAAUAGCAAGCUUGGAGAUGUCAAAGAUGGAAAGAUAUAGAGGAAAAGAGAAAGGAAGCCAAGUGAAGUUACACAACUCAUUCUCUGUAUUUUUAUAUAUAUGUUUCGUUCUCUCAGCCUCAUGAGACGAGCUUGGUGAAAGGUGAUAUGCUUCUGGCUAUAUAUAGGCACCAAUUCCUGUUUCAAGAUGACACAAUGCACAUAUGGUUCAUUGUGAACACUGAAACUGAGGAAAUGUUUCUUUGCUUCAA